AGCAUCUAAAAGAAAAAGAGGCAUCCUGACCAAGACAUAGCACAUGUCAGUGAAUGGGAUGUUUCCAAAGACAAACGACACAAAACGAUGCAAGGGCGUGUUGGGCACCGCCAUCACGAGUGUAUUCCCAGUCUGGAGCAAGAGGUAGAUAUCUGAGUCCAGGAUGAAGAGCAGCAGCUCUCAGCUCUCAGACAAACCCAGCAGCAACAAAAGAAACCUCUCUCUAGACUUUCCCCUCACUCCUGUGGGAAGGAGAUAGAGUUGCUGCUCAGGAGUCAUUGCCUUCCACCACUCGAUAUCUUCUGGAGGUAAAACACAGCAGGGCCUCAGCAAGCCAGGAUGUUCCUUCAGAUAGAGUAAAAUGUAAAAUCAGAACCCUGGAGUUCAGGAAGGCAGUAUUUGCUUUCUUCACUGUGUGCACACCUAUCUUUGUGUCUGCCCAAAUAUACUUCAGGAUGCAUCCAGGAGUGUCUGUGAGUGCACCCAUGAAUUAAUGCAUCUUUUGACAUGAGCAGCAGUGUGCAUGAGUGCUGUUCCCUCCGCCCGCUUUUGAUGUCAUGAAUGAUAUCGGUAUGUGAUCAACGGUCACCCUGGGAAUUAACAGAAACAGUCAACAGCAUCCCUCCAAGGCUGAGAUGCGAUGACUGUGCAUGUUGCCCCAUGCUUCCUGAGCAGUCCUAAUGAGAGGUCAUCUGAGAAACCCUCCAGAGGAUCACAGGCUGCACCUCCAGCACGCACGUAGUCCAACCCUGUUUUCAGAGCGGGUCUCAUCAGAUCAGGUUGCUAAGGAUCAAGUCCAGGCAAAGUCUGAACUCUUCCAAGGAUGGAGCUCCAAUAGCAUCUCUUUGGCAAUAUGCUCCAGGACUUCAUCACCUUCAGGCAAAAAAUGAAAGGCAUCAAGUUAUGGGAGUGAAGAAGGAAUUCUCUAUGGACAGGAUCUGCACUGUGUGUCUUGGGAAAACCCACCCGGCUCUGUCCGAUGCUGGUAGAAGGCAGGAUCACCUGCUCAUGAAAGGUUUCCUUUCUGUGUACAUUCAUCUUGUUAUUCCUUCUAACUAAAACAGCCACUGACCUGUUGGGCCUUUCUUUUGUGACCCAGAAAGGGCCCUGCACAACCUCUCCCCCUUUACAGACACCCCUGGGUCAGAGCAGGAGGAGGCAAAACAGGCCAGCAGGUUUUCCCUGAGGGCAGUGUCAGCAGGGUUAGGGUCACAGACAGGAGCUGGGUCACCUGUAAUCAAAAGGGCCCCAGAGAGUCCCUAGGGAGUCACCCAGACUGACAACAUUUGUCUUUACUGGACUCUUCCAGCACGUGAGCUGAGUCUUCUGCCCACACUGACAUGUGUUGCCUGGAAAUACUUGGGCCUCCCUACCUGCCACUCAGGAGUUGCCUUCUUAGGGGAAAGGGCAUAAAGCAGGAAAUGAAAAGCAGCAUCAC
rnacentral:lncRNA from 1 species